GGAGCUUGCUCCCGGAUGUUAGCGGCGGACGGGUGAGUAACACGUGGGUAACCUGCCUGUAAGACUGGGAUAACUCCGGGAAACCGGAGCUAAUACCGGAUAGUUCCUUGAACCGCAUGGUUCAAGGAUGAAAGACGGUUUCGGCUGUCACUUACAGAUGGACCCGCGGCGCAUUAGCUAGUUGGUGAGGUAACGGCUCACCAAGGCGACGAUGCGUAGCCGACCUGAGAGGGUGAUCGGCCACACUGGGACUGAGACACGGCCCAGACUCCUACGGGAGGCAGCAGUAGGGAAUCUUCCGCAAUGGACGAAAGUCUGACGGAGCAACGCCGCGUGAGUGAUGAAGGUUUUCGGAUCGUAAAGCUCUGUUGUUAGGGAAGAACAAGUGCAAGAGUAACUGCUUGCACCUUGACGGUACCUAACCAGAAAGCCACGGCUAACUACGUGCCAGCAGCCGCGGUAAUACGUAGGUGGCAAGCGUUGUCCGGAAUUAUUGGGCGUAAAGGGCUCGCAGGCGGUUUCUUAAGUCUGAUGUGAAAGCCCCCGGCUCAACCGGGGAGGGUCAUUGGAAACUGGGAAACUUGAGUGCAGAAGAGGAGAGUGGAAUUCCACGUGUAGCGGUGAAAUGCGUAGAGAUGUGGAGGAACACCAGUGGCGAAGGCGACUCUCUGGUCUGUAACUGACGCUGAGGAGCGAAAGCGUGGGGAGCGAACAGGAUUAGAUACCCUGGUAGUCCACGCCGUAAACGAUGAGUGCUAAGUGUUAGGGGGUUUCCGCCCCUUAGUGCUGCAGCUAACGCAUUAAGCACUCCGCCUGGGGGAGUACGGUCGCAAGACUGAAACUCAAAGGAAUUGACGGGGGCCCGCACAAGCGGUGGAGCAUGUGGUUUAAUUCGAAGCAACGCGAAGAACCUUACCAGGUCUUGACAUCCUCUGACAACCCUAGAGAUAGGGCUUUCCCUUCGGGGACAGAGUGACAGGUGGUGCAUGGUUGUCGUCAGCUCGUGUCGUGAGAUGUUGGGGUUAAGUCCCGCAACGAGCGCAACCCUUGAUCUUAGUUGC
rnacentral:rRNA from 1 species